rnacentral:rRNA from 1 species
GGAAAGGGUAGCUAAUACCGCAUAACGUCGCAAGACCAAAGAGGGGGACCUUCGGGCCUCUUGCUACCGGAUGUGCCCAGAUGGGAUUAGCUUGUUGGUGGGGUAACGGCUCACCAAGGCGACGAUCCCUAGCUGGUCUGAGAGGAUGACCAGCCACACUGGAACUGAGACACGGUCCAGACUCCUACGGGAGGCAGCAGUGGGGAAUAUUGCACAAUGGGCGCAAGCCUGAUGCAGCCAUGCCGCGUGUAUGAAGAAGGCCUUCGGGUUGUAAAGUACUUUCAGCGGGGAGGAAGGGAUUAAGGUUAAUACCCUCAGUCAUUGACGUUACCCGCAGAAGAAGCACCGGCUAACUCCGUGCCAGCAGCCGCGGUAAUACGGAGGGUGCAAGCGUUAAUCGGAAUUACUGGGCGUAAAGCGCACGCAGGCGGUCUGUCAAGUCGGAUGUGAAAUCCCCGGGCUCAACCUGGGAACUGCAUUCGAAACUGGCAGGCUUGAGUCUCGUAGAGGGGGGUAGAAUUCCAGGUGUAGCGGUGAAAUGCGUAGAGAUCUGGAGGAAUACCGGUGGCGAAGGCGGCCCCCUGGACGAAGACUGACGCUCAGGUGCGAAAGCGUGGGGAGCAAACAGGAUUAGAUACCCUGGUAGUCCACGCCGUAAACGAUGUCGACUUGGAGGUUGUGCCCUUGAGGCGUGGCUUCCGGAGCUAACGCGUUAAGUAGACCGCCUGGGGAGUACGGCCGCAAGGUUAAAACUCAAAUGAAUUGACGGGGGCCCGCACAAGCGGUGGAGCAUGUGGUUUAAUUCGAUGCAACGCGAAGAACCUUACCUGGUCUUGACAUCCACGGAAGUUUGCAGAGAUGCGGUGGUGCCUUCGGGAACUGUGAGACAGGUGCUGCAUGGCUGUCGUCAGCUCGUGUUGUGAAAUGUUGGGUUAAGUCCCGCAACGAGCGCAACCCUUAUCCUUUGUUGCCAGCGGUCCGGCCGGGAACUCAAAGGAGACUGCCAGUGAUAAACUGGAGGAAGGUGGGGAUGACGUCAAGUCAUCAUGGCCCUUACGACCAGGGCUACACACGUGCUACAAUGGCAUAUACAAAGAGAAGCGACCUCGCGAGAGCAAGCGGACCUCAUAAAGUAUGUCGUAGUCCGGAUUGGAGUCUGCAACUCGACUCCAUGAAGUCGGAAUCGCUAGUAAUCGUGGAUCAGAAUGCCACGGUGAAUACGUUCCCGGGCCUUUACACAC